rnacentral:rRNA from 1 species
AACGAACGCUGGCGGCAGGCCUAACACAUGCAAGUCGAGCGCGCCCUUCGGGGUGAGCGGCGGACGGGUGAGUAACGCGUGGGAACGUGCCCUUCUCUGCGGAAUAGCCUCGGGAAACUGAGAGUAAUACCGCAUACGCCCUUUGGGGGAAAGAUUUAUCGGAGAAGGAUCGGCCCGCGUUGGAUUAGGUAGUUGGUGGGGUAAUGGCCCACCAAGCCGACGAUCCAUAGCUGGUUUGAGAGGAUGAUCAGCCACACUGGGACUGAGACACGGCCCAGACUCCUACGGGAGGCAGCAGUGGGGAAUCUUAGACAAUGGGGGCAACCCUGAUCUAGCCAUGCCGCGUGAGUGAUGAAGGCCUUAGGGUUGUAAAGCUCUUUCAGCUGGGAAGAUAAUGACGGUACCAGCAGAAGAAGCCCCGGCUAACUCCGUGC